rnacentral:rRNA from 1 species
UUCGCAAUGCCCGAAAGGGUGACGAAGCGACGCCGCGUGAGCGAAGAAGGCCUUAGGGUUGUAAAGCUCUGUCAGGGGUUAUGAAAUGUAAAUGGGCUAAUACCUCAUCUAUUUGACAAAGGCCCCAAAGGAAGCCACGGCUAACUCUGUGCCAGCAGCCGCGGUAAUACAGAGGUGGCAAGCGUUGUUCGGUAUUAUUGGGCGUAAAGAGCACGUAGGUUGUUUUGUAAGUCAGGUGUGAAAGCCUUCUGUUCAAAGGAAGAACGGCAUCUGAAACUGCAGAUCUUGAGUAUAGGAGGGGAGAGUGGAACUUCUGGUGGAGCGGUGAAAUGCGUAGAUAUCAGAAGGAACGUCGGCGGCGAAAGCGACUCUCUGGCCUAUUACUGACACUGAGGUGCGAAAGUUAGGGGAGCAAACGGGAUUAGAUACCCCGGUAGUCCUAACCGUAAACGAUGGGCACUAAGUAGAGGGGUUUU